CGCCGGCACACGUUCCGAUAGUAAAACGUGGCCGGUUGUUUUUCGUUUUACGAUUGUGUGCUCGCGUUAAAUUUGAAGCAACAUUUUUUUUGUAUACGUACUUACAUUAAGUGCGCAAUUUAAUAUCAGUGCGAAACGAUUUUGUUGAAAAAUCUGAGUAUGACCUGAAACGCUUAGGCAAUGUUUCAGAAAAAUGUACAUCUGUUACAGGCCCCACUUCUCCGUUUCGCUCCGUUGUCCUGCCGUUGUUACUGACGUUGUCCGUUGACCGAUGUCAAAGUGACAACGUCUGUGUCAAAACCUACUAACGAAGCCACGACAUGUUGCGUCAUGGCAACGGAGCACAAAUGGUUAAGACUAAGCCUGUGGAUCGAAAGGUCUCAGGGCAACUGUAAGCGUAACUUUGCAAAGUUAUGUGGAGCAAAGUUAUUAAACUGCAUCAUGCGUACAAGAUGGCCGUAUUAGAAGUGGAUAAGGGACCGACCCGAUUGCUCCAUGAUCUUCCGUAUGUCGACGGAUCUAAGCAGAAAUUGUAUGGAGUUUUGACGUACGUCGACAAAAAUCAAUAGAGCAGGAUGGAGCAAUACAAGUAUUACAAGCAUCUGUGUCACAAUAUAACAAUGUAGGCGCGGUCUUCGGUUGGAAGUACCAUGCAUACUACAUACACAUACAUACAAAAUUUUUGUCAAGAAACUGGCUAAGAUGUAAUUAUUUGAACUCAUCAUAGUGUGUCUCUGACCGAAUAUCUUUUGGUAAUAUUUUUGGUUCCGAUCAAUAAUUAUUCUUACUGUUCAACUCGUCGUAACAAGUUCUUUUUUUAUCAAUAGGUUUUAUAAUGGAAAUAAAAAUGCAAAAGUUUAUGAGUAUCACAACGACCUGAACCAAUUUGUAUUAAGUUGGAGUAUAAUACACAUAAUACACAAAAUAAGUUAAAUCUAAGGUUGUUCAAGUAUUUUGUUUGCCUUUCAAUAUCAUACUAGAAACACACGACGAAUAUGGAAAUUGCUUUAUCAAUAUGUGAUAGUGGCGGUUAUGUCACCGUCACAAUGGCCGGUCAUUAGAUGGGUGACCUGUAUGAUCCGAUACAUAAUGUAUUAUUUUGAUCGGAUCCGUGAAAUCUAUUAUCGUGAACUCCUCUGUGCUUCAGAAGGCACGUUAAGCAGUCGUUAAAACCCGCCAAUCCGGAAUGGGCCGGCUUGGUGGGUGGCCCAUACUCUUCACCCAUCCAUAAAGGCCUGUGUCCCAGUAAGUAGGACGUUUAAAUGGCUGUUGAAAGAUGAUGCUUUAUUAAUUAAUUUAUUAAGUUUAUCUAUUUGUUUGUACGUCUGUGUGUCUACACAAAGCUACUAAACAAAUUAAAGCGAAGCGUCUACACCCUUCGGCUCAUUGUGUUUCUCUGCUGUUAAUUGUGGCUCAAGUUAUAGAAAUAUGAACUAUAUUGUAUAAUAAUGGGAUUAAGUUAUUAUAUUUUUACUCCCGACAACCAGAAGUUUAACAUGUCUGUAUAAUUUUGUAGUAAAUUUUUUUGAAAGAUACCCAAUCCAUGGGGCUGACAUUGCGACUAUUUAUUUACCCAAUAAAAAGAGAAAAAAUUGCAUUUUUAUUUGUAAUUAAUAAACUCAAAAACCACAAGGCCGAUUUUGAUGAAAUUUAGCACAGAGAUAGAAAAAACCCUUAGGAGUGACAUAGGCUACUUUUUAAUAUGGUUUUUUACCCGAGCGAAGCCGAGGCGGGUCGCUAGUUACUAGAAUAUACAACGUCAGGUCAAUCAGCAGUGGACCCUGGUCUCCGACUCUCAAUGGCUGAGGAAGUAAACCGGGAAAAACAUAGAGAAUGUGAGUGAGUCUACAUAAAAUCGAAACGCUUCAGUUCCUACCUGGUAACUGACCAAGUAACUGAAUGCUGUCUACUCAAUUGUUCCUAUGUGACAACUAUCUCCCGUUGUUCCA